UACGUAGGGGGCAAGCGUUGUCCGGAAUCAUUGGGCGUAAAGAGCGUGUAGGCGGUCCGGUAAGUCCGUUGUGAAAGUCAGGGGCUCAACCCUUGAAUGCCGGCGGAUACUGUCUGGCUUGAGGCCGGGAGAGGGUAGCGGAAUUCCCAGUGUAGCGGUGAAAUGCGUAGAUAUUGGGAGGAACACCAGUGGCGAAGGCGGCUACCUGGACCGGUUCUGACGCUGAGGCGCGAAAGCGUGGGGAGCAAACAGG
rnacentral:rRNA from 1 species